rnacentral:rRNA from 1 species
GACGAACGCUGGCGGCGUGCUUAACACAUGCAAGUCGAACGGAAAGGCCCCUUUGGGGGUACUCGAGUGGCGAACGGGUGAGUAACACGUGAGUAACCUGCCCUUGACUUCGGGAUAACUUCAUGAAACUGGGGCUAAUACCGGAUAGGAAUCCUUGCUGCAUGGUGGGGGUUGGAAAGCUUCGGCGGUUUUGGAUGGACUCGCGGCUUAUCAGCUUGUUGGUGGGGUAGUGGCUUACCAAGGCUUUGAUGGGUAGCCGGCCUGAGAGGGCGACCGGCCACAUUGGGACUGAGAUACGGCCCAGACUCCUACGGGAGGCAGCGGUGGGGAAUAUUGCACAAUGGGCGGAAGCCUGAUGCAGCAACGCCGCGUGCGGGAUGACGGCCUUCGGGUUGUAAACCGCUUUCAGCAGGGGCGAAGCUUGUGGUGACGGUACCUGCAGAAGAAGCACCGGCUAACUACGUG